UUCAUUGACACCAAAAAUGGUGGAAGCCCUUGUUUGCAGUUCGGAUUGGUUAAAAUCUGAUCCCCCAAACUUCUACAAAGAUCCCACUGAAGAUGACCUUGAAAUGUAUCACUCUUUGGAGGAACUUGAGAGGGAAAAUGCUUUUAAUCAAGGAAUGGAGUCAACAUUGACCAAUCUCAGCUCUACACAAGCUGAUGCAUAGCAGGCAGCAGCCAACAUCAAACUUUGAGUCUUUGAGUGAGGCAGGGAGCACAACAAGCAAAUAUGAAGUGACGAUGAGAUGAAAUUUGAGUCUUUGAAUACUUUGUUUUCAACUAUUGUCCGCUUUGUUAUUGUAUGAUUCAUUCAUUUGUGUGAACUGUA